AACACAUGCAAGUCAAUAGAAGGCUGGCCGUUAUUUCCUGAAAACAGCGUUUGCUAACACAGGAGGCCCAACCACGAAUUAAGCAGCGUACACCUGAGGUCAUGCAGACCUACAGUGCGAGCAAACCUCUCUCUGAGGGACCGCAGCUAGCAACGAUGUGUAACGAUAUUCCUUCCGACUUCCUCAGCUGGCUGUUGGUGUGUCACUGUGGGUGUGGGCCUUAUCCUAGCUGCCUGGAACUCCAUUAGCAGCCUUCAGAUGAAGAUGUAGAGCUCUCAGCUCCUCCUGCACCAUGCCUGCCUGGAUGCUGCCAUGCUCCCACCUUGAUGAUAAUGGACUGAACCUCUGAACCUGUAAGCCAGCCCCAAUUAAAUGUUGUCCUUAUAAGACUU
ensembl:lncRNA